rnacentral:rRNA from 1 species
AGAUUGAACGCUGGCGGCAUGCCUAACACAUGCAAGUCGAGCGGCAGCGCGGGGGCGACCCUGGCGGCGAGCGGCGGACGGGUGAGUAAGGCAUCGGAAUCUGCCCUGAUGUGGGGGAUAACGUAGGGAAACUUACGCUAAUACCGCAUAAGCUCUGAGGAGGAAAGCGGGGGACCGAAAGGCCUCGCGCUGAAGGAGCGGCCGAUGUCCGAUUAGCUAGUUGGUGGGGUAACGGCCUACCAAGGCGACGAUCGGUAGCUGGUCUGAGAGGAUGAUCAGCCACACUGGGACUGAGGCACGGCCCAGACUCCUACGGGCGGCAGC